rnacentral:rRNA from 1 species
AUUGAACGCUGGCGGCAGGCCUAACACAUGCAAGUCGAACGAGUGGCGGACUGGGGAGUAAUGUCUUGGAAACUACCUGAUGGAGGGGGAUAACUACUGGAAACGGUAGCUAAUACCGCAUACCAUCGGAUGUGCCCAGAUGGGAUUAGCUAGUAGGGGAGGUAACGGCUCACCUAGGCGACGAUCCCUAGCUGGUCUGAGAGGAUGACCGGGCAGCAUGGAACUGAGACACGGUCCAGACUCCGACGGGAGGAAGCAGUGGGAAAUAUUGCACAAUGGGCGCAAGCCGGAUGUAGCCAUGCCGCGUGUAUGAAGAAGGCCGUCGGGUUGGAAAGUACUGUAAGCGGGGAGGCGUUACCCGAAGAAGAAGCACCGGCUAACUCCGUGCCAGCAGCCGCGGUAAUUC